CGAAGAUACCAGCUGGCUGCAACUGUUUAAUAAAAACACAGCACUGUGCAAACACGAAAGUGGACGUAUACGGUGUGACGCCUGCCCGGUGCUGGAAGGUUAAUUGAUGGGGUCAGCCGCAAGGCGAAGCUCUUGAUCGAAGCCCCAGUAAACGGCGGCCGUAACUAUAACGGUCCUAAGGUAGCGAAAUUCCUUGUCGGGUAAGUUCCGACCUGCACGAAUGGCGUAAUGAUGGCCAGGCUGUCUCCACCCGAGACUCAGUGAAAUUGAACUCGCUGUGAAGAUGCAGUGUACCCGCGGCAAGACGGAAAGACCCCGUGAACCUUUACUAUAGCUUGACACUGAACAUUGAGCCUUGAUGUGUAGGAUAGGUGGGAGGCUUUGAAGCGUGGACGCCAGUCUGCGUGGAGCCAUCCUUGAAAUACCACCCUUUAAUGUUUGAUGUUCUAACUCGGCCCCAUAAUCUGGGGUGAGGACAGUGUCUGGUGGGUAGUUUGACUGGGGCGGUCUCCUCCCAAAGAGUAACGGAGGAGCACGAAGGUUAGCUAAUCACGGUCGGACAUCGUGAGGUUAGUGCAAAGGCAUAAGCUAGCUUGACUGCGAGAGUGACGGCUCGAGCAGGUACGAAAGUAGGUCUUAGUGAUCCGGUGGUUCUGAAUGGAAGGGCCAUCGCUCAACGGAUAAAAGGUACUCCGGGGAUAACAGGCUGAUACCGCCCAAGAGUUCAUAUCGACGGCGGUGUUUGGCACCUCGAUGUCGGCUCAUCACAUCCUGGGGCUGAAGUAGGUCCCAAGGGUAUGGCUGUUCGCCAUUUAAAGUGGUACGCGAGCUGGGUUUAGAACGUCGUGAGACAGUUCGGUCCCUAUCUGCCGUGGGCGUUGGAAGAUUGAGAGGGGUUGCUCCUAGUACGAGAGGACCGGAGUGAACGCACCACUGGUGUUCGGGUUGUCAUGCCAAUGGCAUUGCCCGGUAGCUAAGUGCGGAAAAGAUAAGCGCUGAAAGCAUCUAAGCGCGAAACUUGCCUCAAGAUGAGUCUUCCCUGGGCCUUUAAGGCCCCUGAAGGAACGUUUAAGACUAAGACGUUGAUAGGCUGGGUGUGUAAGUGCAGCGAUGCAUUGAGCUAACCAGUACUAAUGAUCCGUGAGGCUUAACCU
rnacentral:rRNA from 1 species